rnacentral:lncRNA from 1 species
UAACAAGCAUAUGUGAAAUGUGAUCCAGGUUAUGCUCCCAGCCAGCCAACAGCUACAUGUUCAGCUUCCAGGGUGUGGCAGAAUGCCCACUGCUACAAUAUAGACGACUGUACGCCCAAUCCAUGCCUGAAUGGGGGUGAAUGCGUAGAUGAAGUUGCUGACUUUUCUUGCCAAUGUAAGCAGUGGUAUUCAGGCAAAACAUGUGAGAUCAUUACCGGUCCAUGUGCUAACCAUCAGUGUAAAAAUGGAGGGACGUGCGUCGCUAAUCCUAAUGGCGGCGGUUACACAUGCAAUUGUCCUGUCGACAUAGAUGGAAACUUUUGCGAGAGUCCUCAUCCUAAUUAUUAUAAAAAUAAAAACAGAAAGAAUAAAUAAAUAAAUGUGAACGAUAAUAGUAAGCAUUGGAAAUCGUUCGCAUACAGAACAUAGAUAGAAAUGGACGCCGUUGCAUAAAGAAUAUCGUUAGCGAUUGAAGUCGUUUGCAAAAAAUAACAAAGAUAGCCAUGGAAGUCGUUCACAAACAGUACAUACCUAGCCUUGGAAGUCAUUUGUAAAAAGAACAAAGUUACUUAGUCUUAAAAUUCGUUAGCAAACAAAACACAUUUUGUUAUUACAGUAUUUUUUCGAUUGUCAUGUCAAUAGAUAAUUGUUAUAACUUUGUAGAAAGUAAUUUUUUGACAAAAUUACUUGAUGUUUUAAAAACUAAAUGUCAUUUUUAUACUAACUCAGCCUCUAAACGGGUUGAUUCAGGUGUUGAUAUACCUUUUAAAUGGAAAGGUCGUUCGAAUGUCAGUUAUUUUCUUACUGUUUAACUCAUGACGUUCCAUUUUAAAGAGACGCAUUGCAAAGAUAAAUUUAAGCUUUGCAUAAUCAUUGUUAAUUUAUUAUUAUUAUAUCAUCAUUAUUAUUAUUUUAGUAUUGUCAUUUGUGCUGUUCAGGCACAGGUCAAACUGACUCGAUAAUCGCAUAUUUUGAUAUUAUUCAGUAAGCCUAUGUAUACUUACUUGUUUUUUUUUUACUUUUGCUUUUUUUUCAUAUACUAGCUUUUAUUUGUUAUUGUUGUUGUUUUUUGUAAGGUAUUUCAUAUUUGUGCCCAUGGCUGCAUAUUACUUUGUAAUUGUUUCUAUAUUUUUAAAUAACUGCAUUUUUGUGAAACUAACAAAAAUCUUUUAAUUGUUUUAUUAUGUUUUGUAAAUAGGGCAGUACAUUUACCCAGACGAUUACAUUAGUUUUCACUGUUGUUGUUGUUUUGUGUUAAAAAAUAAAAGCAGUUCAAAGUA